AGAGUUUGAUCCUGGCUCAGAACGAACGCUAGCGGCGGGCUUAACACAUGCAAGUCGAACGCACGAACCGACUUCGGUCGGUAAGUGAGUGGCGCACGGGUGAGUAACACGUAGGUAACGUACCUCGGAACGGGGGAUAACAGGCCGAAAGGCCUGCUAAUACCGCAUAAGACCCCAGAGCCUUCGGACUCAGGGGGAAAAGGUGGGGAUCUCUUCGGAGACCUAUCAUUCCGAGAGCGGCCUGCGGCCCAUUAGCUAGUAGGUGGGGUAAUGGCCCACCUAGGCUUUGAUGGGUAGCUGGUUUGAGAGAAUGAUCAGCCACACUGGAACUGAGACACGGUCCAGACUCCUACGGGAGGCAGCAGUGGGGAAUAUUGCGCAAUGGGCGAAAGCCUGACGCAGCCACGCCGCGUGAGUGACGAAGGCCUUCGGGUUGUAAAGCUCUGUCGCGAGGGAAGAAAUACUUGGAGUUAAUAGCUUCAGGGGAUGACGGUACCUCGCAAGAAAGCACCGGCUAACUCCGUGCCAGCAGCCGCGGUAAUACGGAGGGUGCGAGCGUUAAUCGGAAUUACUGGGCGUAAAGCGUACGCAGGCGGUUUGUUAAGCGAGAUGUGAAAGCCCCGGGCUCAACCUGGGAACUGCAUUUCGAACUGGCAAACUAGAGUGUGAUAGAGGGUGGUAGAAUUUCAGGUGUAGCGGUGAAAUGCGUAGAGAUCUGAAGGAAUACCGAUGGCGAAGGCAGCCACCUGGGUCAACACUGACGCUCAUGUACGAAAGCGUGGGGAGCAAACGGGAUUAGAUACCCCGGUAGUCCACGCCGUAAACGAUGUCUACUAGAAGCUCGGAACCUCGGUUCUGUUUUUCAAAGCUAACGCAUUAAGUAGACCGCCUGGGGAGUACGGCCGCAAGGUUAAAACUCAAAUGAAUUGACGGGGGCCCGCACAAGCGGUGGAGCAUGUGGUUUAAUUCGAUGCAACGCGAAGAACCUUACCUACACUUGACAUACAGAGAACUUACCAGAGAUGGUUUGGUGCCUUCGGGAACUCUGAUACAGGUGCUGCAUGGCUGUCGUCAGCUCGUGUUGUGAGAUGUUGGGUUAAGUCCCGCAACGAGCGCAACCCCUAUCCUUAGUUGCUAGCAGGUAAUGCUGAGAACUCUAAGGAGACUGCCGGUGAUAAACCGGAGGAAGGUGGGGACGACGUCAAGUCAUCAUGGCCCUUACGUGUAGGGCUACACACGUGCUACAAUGGCGCAUACAGAGUGCUGCGAACUCGCGAGAGUAAGCGAAUCACUUAAAGUGCGUCGUAGUCCGGAUUGGAGUCUGCAACUCGACUCCAUGAAGUCGGAAUCGCUAGUAAUCGCGUAUCAGAAUGACGCGGUGAAUACGUUCCCGGGCCUUGUACACACCGCCCGUCAAGCCAUGGAAGUCGGCAGUACCCGAAGCCGGUGUCCCAACUCUUCGGAGAGGGAGCCGUCGAAGGUAAGGCUGGUAACUAGGGCUAAGUCGUAACAAGGUAACC
rnacentral:rRNA from 1 species